AUUUGAUGAUGAGGGUAGCUUGCACAAAGCUUUUGAACCAUUCCCAAUACUCAUACAAACUCUCUUCAUUGUAUUGUCGAAUGCCACAAAUUUCUUUUCUUAUGUU
rfam:Jatropha curcas cultivar GZQX0401 scaffold681_23, whole genome shotgun sequence.